rnacentral:piRNA from 1 species
UGACAUGAACACGGUGCUCAGAUAGCUUU